AACGAACGCUGGCGGCAUGCCUAACACAUGCAAGUCGAACGAGACCUUCGGGGCUAGUGGCGCACGUGUGCGUGACGCGUGGGAACCUGCCCUUAGGUUCGGAAUCACUCCCCGAAAGGGAUGCUAAUACCGGUUGGUGUCUUCGGGCCAAAGAUUUAUCGCCUGUGGAUGGGCCCGCGUUGGUUUAGCUAGUUGGUAGGGUAAAAGCCUACCAAGGCGACGAUCCAUGGCUGGUCUGUGAGGAUGAUCAGCGACACUGGGACUGAGACACGGCCCAGACUGGUGGGGGAGGCAGGAGUGGGGAAUAAAGGACCAGGGGCGUAAGCCUGCUACAGCGAGGCCGGGUGAGUGAUGAAGGGCUUAGGGUUGUAAAGCGCCAGUAACCGGGAUGAUAAUGACAGUACCGGGAGAAUAAGCACCGGCUAACUCCGUG
rnacentral:rRNA from 1 species